rnacentral:rRNA from 1 species
AUACGAAGGUCCCAAGCGUUAUUCGGAAUCACUGGGCGUAAAGAGUAUGUAGGCGGUUUGGUAAGUCAGGUGUGAAAUCCCGAAGCUCAACUUCGGAACUGCAUCCGAUACUGCUAGACUUGAGUAAUGGAGAGGCAGGUGGAAUUCUCGGUGUAGCAGUGAAAUGCGUGGAUAUCAAGAGGAAGACCAAUGGCGAAGGCAGCCUGCUGGACAUUUACUGACGCUGAGAUACGAAGGCUAGGGUAGCGAAAGGGAUUAGAAACCCCAGUAGUCC